UCUGUGAAAUAUAAUUCAGGGCAGGGCCUUUUGAAUUCUCUGCCACCAGGGGCCUCAUAUUUCCAAAUAACAUUUCCCAAAAUCCUGUGUUCUCAGUCUCCUGCCCCAGCUCCAUUUCCUUAUGCCAACCAGCAAGCAGCCUUGGUUUCAAUUUAAAUACAAGCUUCUUUCACUUUGCAAAAGUUGCUUAAUACUUGUACUGAAAAUUAAUCUGACUCUGGGAGGCUUCCGAAUGUUACAGAACCUUAACGAAAAUUAUUGACUGUGUCCUCCCAUCAGCUUCACUCAGACCAAUCCCUGGCUGCCAUUCCCCCCGCCAGCCAAUCCUGGCAUGAAUCCUAACUAGUCUCUUCUCUGGCCAAACGGGAAAGAGGUAUCCAGAGAUGGGUACAACAUCCUGGGAACCCUUUCUGCCCCAAUAGAUGCCUCCAACGGCUGAUUGGAAGCCCCAGGACUUCAGCUGGGAGGGAAUCACCAGCCACAUCAUCAGGACUUAAAUCAACUACAGCAUGAGCUCACCUGAGCCCGCCCCCCAGCCAAUCAGGAGCAAAGGAAAAUGAAGGAUGGUUUUGUAAAAGCAAAGACUCGUGAUGCUCUGUUCAAUAACAUGCAUGUUGAAAUGCUCCAAUUACAGUGCGCCCGACUUGCUCCAGGAGUUUUUAGAAGAAUGAUGCUGUUGGUGAUGGAUGCUGGAACGCAGCAUAAAAAAUGAAAGAAAGAAAGCUUUAAAAAGCAGAAGGAGAGAGGCAAAUGUGUUCCCAGCUACAUUAGCCACCCAAACUCUUCAACAAUAUCUUCACUAAUCUACACAAUUGUGUGUUCCUGUAUGGCAGGAGGUUGGGUUGGAUAGCCCAUGUGGUCUCUUCCUACUCUAUGUUUGUAAAACAAGUAAUUUCUUAUGAUAAAUGUGGUGAAAAUGUCCCCACAUUUGAAAAUGUGAACAUUCAGGGGCAAUUUAUGUUUAACAGGGCACAGAGUCCACAGAAAGGCUGCAUGUGUGUUGUGGGCUACACUUUGCUCAUCCCUGUUAAUGGUGUUUCCUUUCUUGCCUUUAUGUGUUGCCCUCCAAAAUGAUGUUGGAUGGGGAAUGUGAGCAAUGCCUGGGGAGAUCACGGGGCCCAGUGGGGCAUUCCUGGAUAUGUUUAGAUGCAUCAAGUGGUGCCAUCUGCGAUGUUGUGUGUAGGACAUGCAUGUGAGUCCAUCGUCUUCCUCUGUGUGUGUACAGCUAUGUAGGUGGAGAUGGCACAGUACUUGAUUUUUGGACACUAAAUGGCUUUCACAAACAUAUGAAGGGAGCCCUCCCAUUUACCACUAUUUUUCUGUCACAUUCAAAACUCAAUAAAAAGGGAGCAGGAGGGAAGAAAGAGGGAAAACAGCCAUGGCAACGGAGCAGUGCAGCCCACCUGUAUUGUAUCCAUCUAAUGCUUUACAAAGUACAUUUCUGAAGGAGGAAAAAUGUGAAAUUAAAAGAAGCCAACCAAGACCAGCUUUUGAUGCUUCUAUUUUGAUCCAGAGCCCAUAAUAGUAGCUUGUUUAUAGUGUUUAAAAAUUAUGUAAUCAAACAGUAUAUACAGUGAAUUAAGAAAUUAAAAAAUAAACAAUAUGUGUUCCAUUU